CUCCAAACCCCUGUGACAUACCACUUGUUGCCUCGGCGGAUCAGCCCGCUCCCGGUAAAACGGGACGGCCCGCCAGAGGACCCCUAAACUCUGUUUCUAUAUGUAACUUCUGAGUAAAACCAUAAAUAAAUCAAAACUUUCAACAACGGAUCUCUUGGUUCUGGCAUCGAUGAAGAACGCAGCAAAAUGCGAUAAGUAAUGUGAAUUGCAGAAUUCAGUGAAUCAUCGAAUCUUUGAACGCACAUUGCGCCCGCCAGUAUUCUGGCGGGCAUGCCUGUUCGAGCGUCAUUUCAACCCUCAAGCACAGCUUGGUGUUGGGACUCGCGUUAAUUCGCGUUCCCCAAAUUGAUUGGCGGUCACGUCGAGCUUCCAUAGCGUAGUAGUAAAACCCUCGUUACUGGUAAUCGUCGCGGCCACGCCGUUAAACCCCAACUUCUGAAUGUUGACCUCGGAUCAGGUAGGAAUACCCGCUGAACUUAAGCAUAUCAAUAAGCGGAGGA
rnacentral:rRNA from 1 species